GUGCCUGCUUUAGCGUCAUAUAGACUGAAAUUGGAAUAAUACAGAGAAGAUUAGCAUGGGCCCUGUGCAAAGAUGACACGCAAAUUCUUGAAGUGUUUCAUAUUAAA